rnacentral:lncRNA from 10 species
CAACAUUCUAAUGGCGUUAAACAACUGCAGAAUCUAAUGAAAACCAGUCUUAACCUCACUGGAAUCUCAUUAAGAAGAGGGCAGCUCUUUUUUUGUGUGAAAUUGUUGGAGAUGAUUUUAUCUGGUUUGGUUUUGUUCGCCUUGCCUAGGAGAGUCGGGGGGCCGGGGGUAGAUAAAAAUCACAGAAUAUGGAUUCACAUACUCAAAAGAUUUUAAAAAUCCUCUUUCCUGAAUUUACAGAUGAAAAAACAAGAGCCUAAAGAAGGGAGGCAACUUUUCCAAAGCCACACAUUAAACCUGUGGCAGUUAAGAGCCAGAACUGUGGUAUCCUGGCCCUCAGCCCCACACCUCUACUGCAAUACCUGGGAUGUGGGCCCAUGGAUUGAUUUAUGGAUUUUGACUAACAUAUCUUCAAUUGAGCAAUCACUCGGAUGAUCGAUUGAACACUCCUUCACCAAACAAGGCUGGAGGCCUGGGAUGGACGCCGGUGGUUUGAGAUAUGCAGAAGAAAUGGGUCCUGCCCUCCGGAACACUCCAGAGAAUAUCAUGGCACUUUAUAACAUCAGUGUCAAUCAGCAUUGAUUGACAAGCCCCCUGGACUUUGGAUGACUUCUCUGAAGCCCCAGCUGUGCCUGGCUGGGCCAUCUCCCUUCUCCACUUGGCCACAGCAUAAACUGCAGUCAAGCCACAGGAGUGACCUCAAGGCCUCAGGCCACUUUUCCAGCCUCAGCUUUUCUUAGGGGCCCAGCCCACUUACAAUAGAAAUUUGCCAAAGACUGGGUUGGUUUCUUUUCUGGGAGCUGCUAUCACUGAAUACAUAAAGAAAUUGAGCCUAUAUGAUUUCAAUCUUCACCUUCUGAUGCUGAUGAAACAGGAUUCUAUGCAGUUUUCCACAGGGAGAAGCAGCAGGCUGAAGUGGCUCUUUAGGGAGACACAUACCUCCACAGGAAGAGCAGUCUAGAUUGUUUUAGCACAUUCCACUUAAGGAUUGCAGUGUGACAGCAGAGAAAAUCCUCUCCAGUCAAGUAAUUGCAUCCAUUUCAUCUUCCCAGCCCUCCUCUAGAUGGGAGGUGGAGGUGUGUGUACCAAUCUCUUAAUUCAGAAAUGAGACAAGAGGAGGAAAAAGGAGUUCCGGAGGUGUGUGAUCCAAGUCUGGCUGCAGGCUAUGGACAUUCCAGGAGGGAGACUCCAUCAGAGAAGUGGAGCUGGAGUUGGGUGUUAGAGGGUAAAGGGAGGGUUUGAACAGGCAAGGGAUGGGGGAGGAGUGCCUUACAGUGGGAGAGGGAGAGGCUGCUUGAAAAAGCAUAGAGCUGUGAGUGAGCAUGCGUGCCCAAGGAGAGGGAGCCAGGCACUGCCAGGGUGCAGGUGGGGCAGACUGGCUAGGUGUGUGGCCAGGGUGUGGAAGGAACAUGCUAAGUGUGACAGUUAAUUUAUGUGUCAUCCUGGCUAGGCUAUGGUGCUCAGUUGUUUGGUGAAACAUCAGCCUAGAUGUUGCUUCAAAGGUAUUUAUUAAAUGUGUAAUUUAAAUCAUAGACUUUGAGUAAAGCUGAUCACCUUACGUAAUGUGAGUGGGUCUCGUCCAAUCAACUGAAGGCUUUAAGAGCAAAGACAAAGGUUUUUCAAAGAGAAAAAGAAGACUCUCCUCAAGACUGUGACAUAGAAACUCUGCCUGAAUUUCUAGCCUGCUGCCCUGCAGAAUUUAGAGUCAAGCCUACAACAUAACUCUUACCUGAAUUCUCAGGCUGCUGACUUACCCUGCAGAUUUUGGACUUGCCAGCCCCUCACAAUCCCAUGAGCCAAUUCCUUAAAAUAAAUCUCUCUUUUUCCCUCUGUAUAUAUUUAUGUCCUAUUGAUUUUGGUUCUCUGGAGAGCCCUGACUACUACACUGAGUGAAGGGAGGGCUUUGCUAAGUGAUCAUGGUCCCAAGGGCAGCCUCUGAGAGCCCGCUCCUUUUGCAGGAUAUUUGAAGACCAGACCUUGAGUCAAAUUCUGCAGCCAAAUUCAAUGCCCAUAAGACUUUCUGCUCAGAAGACGUCAUGCAAAGGGAAUCCCCAGGGCUCUUUAAAUUAGAUCUUCUGUUUGUGCAGACACGUGAUAAAUGUUUUGGGUACAGCCUGGCUCACACCACAUUUUCCACUUUUUGGGUGGAGUCAGUUUUAAUUGACAAGAAGUGCCUUUACAGGUGGACUUUUUUUUUGGUGGUGGAGGGGAGUAGUUAAAACCGAUGCUUUGCAUUCUGUUGGGCAGCAGAAAGAUUGCUUUUUCAAUAAGCAAGCCUUGGGUUUUUCUGAGCCAGUGGUAUGAGAAAUGCCUCUCCUGAAGGCCACCACGCAAGCGAGUCCCCACAGAAGCAUGCCCGAGCUGUCAGGUGCAGGGAGAAAUAUCUUUAGUAAGAGCCGGUCAUGUAAUGAGACUUCCCCACCACAGCAUAGAUGGGCAGAGGGGUUUCCACAAGGACAAUUCUUAAGAAUCUCUGUAAAAACGCAUGACUCCAUCUGUCUCCUCUCUCUUCUUUGGCUUCAGAUGAGCUGAGCCAUUUAAAAAUUCCCCAACAAGGGACCCCAGGCACCAGAAGAAGUGAUGAACAGAUUUUCAAUUUGGCCCUGAUUUGCAUAAAUUUUUUUUUUCUGGCAGUUGAAAUCAUUGAGACUAGAGGCCGGAGAUGGGUAGUAGUGGGUUUUCCCCAUCUGAAGCGGAUUCUUGAUUGGUCUGGAAAGACUGCUGGAGCUCCUGGGUGCAAGGCUCUGACCAGCAGAGCUGGUCAGCAGAGCUGACUGCUCUGGGUGCAGCUUCUCCAGAGAAGGAAGAGAUGGCAAAGAGGAAGGCCUGGGGUUCAGAGAAGGACUUUGCAACCCCAAUGGGGAGUCAGAUCCUCAGGUCUCCUCCUAGAGCGGCUGCCUGGACAGUGGGGACCCCAGCCAGAGCCUGGGGACUUGGCUGCCUUGGAACCAGAACCUGGCCCCUCAGAGGAGUUGCAGAAUUUCGAUAGAGGAGUGGCAGGAGGUGUACUGGCUGAAGAGGAGGCCCAAGGAACUCCUUUUCAUACAUCAAAACUGAGCUUAUCACCUCUACCCUGAAGUCAUCCUGGACAUCACUGGUCCCAGUUAAUCACUCACUUAUCUUUGCCAUCCUUGACCUGGCUGGAGUGAGCCCUUGAGCUGACCCAGAAGUUCUGAGCAUUUAUCACCCAGUAUUGAUGACCAUGUAUUUUGCCUCCUCUCUUUAUGCCUAAAGAUGAAGGAAGAAAUACAAGCUCAUGUUACAAAGAGUAUUUCCUGGGUUUAUCAGCUCUCCCCCUCUCAGCUUGAGCUCUGAAUGAUUUCUUAGUUCUCAGCUUUUCUUCCUCUGAUCAAAGUGCCUGAGGCAGUGAGCACUGGGAGGGCAGGAGCAUUUCUGGCUGAGCCCAAUGCUCACCUCUUCUGGGCCGUUUUAGGAAGCUGUGGCCCAGUGUUCUCUGGUCAGACAAGCAUGGCCUGGCUGUGGAAGGGUCUCCAAAGGCUCAUGGGUCCCAGGUGCCCUGGAUUUUGAAGGCAGCUGCCCUGCCUCCACUGGGAGAAGAUUAAAGCCCCCUUUGCCUUUCUUCGUCCCUCCCUUUCCCACUCUGUUCACUCAAUCACUCUUUUCUCUCCAAUGAAUUAAAUGCAGAAAAUCCAUGAGCAGGAUUUCUCUCUUCAAAGGACCAAAUAACCUUCUUUCUAUUCCCCCUAAAUUUUUUUCCAAACUGCAAAAAGAAAACAUGCAAACAGACUUCAAGUUAAAGGUGAGAGAAAGAAAGAAAAAUUGAAGCAAAGUAAUUUUAACUUGAGAAGUAGAGCAGUUUAAACCCAGAAAAAAAAUGUACACUCCGCAAUAUAGUCCUUUCCUACAAAUUAAUUAACCCAAAGUACUUGUUUAAUUAGUGUGAGGGGUAGGGAAUUGAGUAGCUAACAAUAUCUCUCACCCAGUUUAGAAUUAUGUUCACAAAAGAAUUUCUUCUUCUUUUCCUGAAAGGGAAGAGAACGUUGCCCUCAUUGGUCUGGAAUCAGCAGGUACCUCAUGGCUGGAGGUGUAUUUUCAGGUGGGUUGGGACUUUGAAGAGGUGGCUUUUCCUAUGGACCCCUCUGACUCCCCACCUGUGGGCAUGACACAGGUGACCUGGCUGCCAGGGCAGAGGCUGCUUAGCCCUGCUCCAGAGAAACAGAGCUCUGAGGGCUUCCAGAAACCAGGGCUCCUGGCUCCUCAGUCCUUCCCACUCCUCUCUUCCUACUCCCGUGCUGCAUAUAAACUUUUCUUUUUUUUUCAGAUGGAGUCUCACUCUGUCACUCAGGCUGGAGUGCAGUGGUGCGAUCUCAGCUUACUGCAACCUCCGCCUCCCGGGUUCAAGUGAUUCUCCUGCCUCAGCUUCCCCAGUAGCAGGGACUACAGGACCACAGGUUACAGGCAUGAGCCACUGCACUUGGCCUGCAUAUAAACUUUUUGAGUUUCCUGCUUUUGACAUGAGCAUGGAUAUUUAUCACUUCUAGAGGCAUUAGGAGAACUCAAGUCCAAGUGCUCAGAGACCUACAGUGCAGCUUAAGACCCUGUCACAGGAAUCUUCGGGGUGGGGGCAUGCACGGGAGUUAUAGAGAGUUGGGGAAGGAUGAGUUCUCAACCAAUGCUUUCCUUUUUUCCACAGACUCCUUUGGCAUCUGGUGAGGCCUGUGGAUUCAUUCUCAGAAUCACAUUUUUAAAUGCACAUAAUAAAAUACAUAGAAUUGCAAAGGAAGUUAAUUAUAUUGAAAUACAGUUAUCAAAAAUAUAAAUAAAACAAGUAUGUGGUACAGUCAUAUGUGUGCUUCUUUAUUAAGUCAUUACAAAGCAAGAUCUAUUUGGAGGUCUAAUAACUGUCAUAUGCUUGAAAAAAUCCUUAACAAUCAUAAUAUAUUAAAAAAUCUGAUUUCUACUUUGGCAAAUCAUAGAUAUUGCUGAAACUGUGGUUUAUUGCCUGCAUUCAUAAUUGAAGGAAAUGCUAGAGUUCAGUGAGAAGGUUGUGAAAAUAAAGAGAGCCUUUUUUUCUCAUCAAG